GGGUAGUUUGACUGGGGCGGUCUCCUCCUAAAGAGUAACGGAGGAGCACGAAGGUUGGCUAAUCCUGGUCGGACAUCAGGAGGUUAGUGCAAUGGCAUAAGCCAGCUUGACUGCGAGCGUGACGGCGCGAGCAGGUGCGAAAGCAGGUCAUAGUGAUCCGGUGGUUCUGAAUGGAAGGGCCAUCGCUCAACGGAUAAAAGGUACUCCGGGGAUAACAGGCUGAUACCGCCCAAGAGUUCAUAUCGACGGCGGUGUUUGGCACCUCGAUGUCGGCUCAUCACAUCCUGGGGCUGAAGUAGGUCCCAAGGGUAUGGCUGUUCGCCAUUUAAAGUGGUACGCGAGCUGGGUUUAGAACGUCGUGAGACAGUUCGGUCCCUAUCUGCCGUGGGCGCUGGAGAACUGAGGGGGGCUGCUCCUAGUACGAGAGGACCGGAGUGGACGCAUCACUGGUGUUCGGGUUGUCAUGCCAAUG
rnacentral:rRNA from 1 species